AAUCCCUUCAGUCGUUUCCUAAAGCAAGGUGUAGAAACACCAUUUUUCUUCGAACCAGUUCGCGGGGUUCAGCACGGCGCAGAUCCAGUAUGGGCCAACACGUUUCCAGAACGGACUUCGAGUGGGUCUACACGGAUCAACCUCACACGGGUCGCCGCGAUGCCAUGCUACGGAAGUAUCCUGAAAUCAAAAAAUUAUUCGGACCGGACCCCAAGUUCAAGUACAUCGUGUCGGCUAUGGUUCUCACGCAGAUCUUCAUGUUGUACGUGAUGCAGAAUCAAUCCUGGAAGAUGAUUGUACUGGUGGCCUAUUGCUUCGGGGGUGUCAUCAACCAUUCGUUGAUGUUGGCCAACCACGAAAUAUCCCAUAACAUGGCUUUUGGAUACGGAAGACCGUUGGCCAAUCGGUUAUUUGGCAUGUGGUGUAACCUUCCGAUCGGAGUGCCGAUGUCGGUUUCGUUCAAGAAGUACCAUACCUUGCACCAUAGGUAUCUGGCCGACGAAAGACUGGAUCCGGACGUGCCGAGCAUUCUCGAGGCCAAGUUGUUUUGCAACACGUUCGGGAAGUUCGUGUGGAUCAUUCUGCAGCCGCUGUUCUACGCGAUAAGGCCAAUUUUCGUGAACCCACUACCAGUUGAAAAACUUGAACUCCUCAAUACGGCAAUUCAAUUGGCUUUUGAUGGCCUAGUGGUGUUGAUCUUCGGUUGGAGAAUGCUGGCUUACUUGCUGAUCGGGUCCUUUUUAGCUAUGGGCAUCCAUCCAGUGGCCGGUCAUUUCAUAGCCGAGCAUUACAUGUAUGCAAAAGGGUUCGAGACGUAUUCCUACUACGGUAUGCUGAACUGGAUAACCUUCAACGUGGGAUAUCACAAUGAGCAUCACGACUUUCCCGCCAUUCCUGGGAGCAAGUUGCCAGAGUUGAAGAAAAUUGCUCCCGAGUUCUACGAUAGCAUGCCGCAGCAUACGUCCUGGGUGCGAGUGAUGUACGAUUUCGUGACGGAUCCGGCCAUUGGACCUUACGCCCGAAUCAAGCGGAGGGCUUUGGAGCGAGCGGGAUGACAAGCCGGCUUCGGUGGUACGCCCAACGACCGAGCCCAACCAGGAAAAUGGAGAAACAGAUUUUUUAAAAAUUGUGUAUUUAUCAUUUUGUUAUGUGUAUAAUAAAUAUAAUUUAUUCAGUUCAA